CAUCAGUGAGGAAUUUUCGUCAAUGGGGGCAACCCUGAACGAGCAACGCCGCGUGCAGGAAGAAGGUUUUCGGAUCGUAAACUGCUUUUCCUGGGGAAGAGAACGGACGGUACCCAGGGAAUAAGCCCCGGCUAACUACGUGCCAGCAGCCGCGGUAAUACGUAGGGGGCAAGCGUUGUCCGGAUUUAUUGGGCGUAAAGCGCACGCAGGCGGUCUUUUAAGUUUCGAGUGACAGGUGGUGGCUUAACUACCACAGGCCUUGGAAAACUGGAAGACUUGAGGACGAGAGAGGGACGCGGAAUUCCAGGUGGAGCGGUGAAAUGCGUAGAGAUCUGGAAGAACACCAAAGGCGAAGGCAGCGUUCUGGCUCGUAACUGACGCUCAUGUGCGAAAGCCAGGGGAGCGAACGGGAUUAGA
rnacentral:rRNA from 1 species